rnacentral:rRNA from 1 species
UACGGAGGGGGCUAGCGUUGUUCGGAAUUACUGGGCGUAAAGCGCACGUAGGCGGCUUUGCAAGUCAGAGGUGAAAGCCCGGGGCUCAACCCCGGAAUUGCCUUUGAGACUGCAUCGCUAGAAUUGUGGAGAGGUAAGUGGAAUUCCGAGUGUAGAGGUGAAAUUCGUAGAUAUUCGGAAGAACACCAGUGGCGAAGGCGACUUACUGGACACAUAUUGACGCUGAGGCGCGAAAGCUAGGGGAGCAAACAGG